rnacentral:rRNA from 1 species
UACGUAGGGUGCGAGCGUUGUCCGGAAUUAUUGGGCGUAAAGGGCUCGUAGGCGGUUUGUCGCGUCGGGGAGUGAAAACAUCCAGCUUAACUGGGUGCUUGCUUUCGAUACGGGCAGACUUGAGGUAUGCAGGGGGAGAAUGGAAUUCCUGGUGUAGCGGUGAAAUGCGCAGAUAUCAGGAGGAACACCGGUGGCGAAGGCGGUUCUCUGGGCAUUACCUGACGCUGAGGAGCGAAAGUGUGGGGAGCGAACAGG